AUUGAACGCUGGCGGCAGGCUUAACACAUGCAAGUCGAGCGGGGAAAGGUAGCUUGCUACCUGACCUAGCGGCGGACGGGUGAGUAAUGCUUAGGAAUCUGCCUAUUAGUGGGGGACAACAUUCCGAAAGGAAUGCUAAUACCGCAUACGCCCUCCGGGGAAAAGCAGGGGAUCUUCGGACAUUGCGCUAAUAGAUGAGCCUAAGUCAGAUUCGCUCGCUGGUGGGGUAAAGGCCUACCAAGGCAACCAUCUCUAGCGGGUCUGAGAGGAUGAUCCGCCACACUGGGACUGAGACACAGCCCAGACUCCUGCGGGAGGCAGCAGUGCGGAAUAUUGGACAAUGGGCGAAAGCCUGAUCUAGCCAUGCCGCGUGUGUGAAGAAGGCCUUUUGGUUGUAAAGCACUUUAAGCGAGGAGGAGGCUACUUGGAUUAAUACUCUAGGAUAGUGGACGUUACUCGCAGAAUAAGCACCGGCUAACUCUGUGCCAGCCGCCGCGGUAA
rnacentral:rRNA from 1 species